rnacentral:rRNA from 1 species
CACGUAGGGUGCGAGCGUUGUCCGGAAUUAUUGGGCGUAAAGAGCUCGUAGGCGGCUUGUCGCGUCGACUGUGAAAUCCCGCGGCUCAACUGCGGGUCUGCAGUCGAUACGGGCAGGCUAGAGUUCGGUAGGGGAGACUGGAAUUCCUGGUGUAGCGGUGAAAUGCGCAGAUAUCAGGAGGAACACCGAUGGCGAAGGCAGGUCUCUGGGCCGAUACUGACGCUGAGGAGCGAAAGCGUGGGGGAGCGAACAGG